rnacentral:lncRNA from 1 species
UUAUGUCUUAAUCCAUGUGAACACUUUCAAAAUUUAAAAGUUCAUAUUCUUCUUUUGACAAUUAAUCAAAAAAUGUUAUGUAACUAUUUAAUCUUUUCUAGCAGCAUAAUGAGUUGUCUAACAAAGAGCAGUGGGCAUGGCAAAACAAUAAAUAAAAAUAAAUAUUGGGACUAGAUUAAUACCUGUCGUCAACACAUCAGAAGCCUGUGCAUCUUGUUGUGUAAGUGCAAAUACUCUUCCUUGAGUCUUUGGCCCCUGG